rnacentral:rRNA from 1 species
GAUGAACGCUGGCGGCGUGCCUAAUACAUGCAAGUCGAGCGAACAGACGAGGAGCUUGCUCCUCUGACGUUAGCGGCGGACGGGUGAGUAACACGUGGAUAACCUACCUAUAAGACGGGGAUAACUUCGGGACACCGGCGCUAAUACCGGAGAAUAUAUUGAACCGCAUGGGUCGAUAGUGAAAUACGGUGGUGCUGUCACUUAUAGAUGGAUCCGCGCCUCAUUAGCGAGUUGGUAAGGUAACGGCUUACCAAGGCAACGAUGCCUGACCGACCUGAGAGGGGGAUCGGCCACACGGGAAGUGAGCCACCGUCCAGGCUCCUACGGGAGGCCGCAGUCGCGAAUCUUCCGAACUGGGCGAAAGACUGACGGAGCAACGGCGCGUGAGUGAUGAAGGUCUUCGGGUCGUAAAACGCUGUUCUUAGGGAAGACCAAAUGUGUAAGUAACUAUGCACGUCUUGCCGGUACCUAUACAGAAGGCCCCGGCUACCUACGU